GCCCCGCUUUUCCACUCUGGCUCGUCCUUUCGCUCCACGCCUGGGCCCGGCCUUGAGCCCUGCCUGCCCGCCCAAGCCUAAACCCCUCCUCCAUCGCCUAGUCCGAACCACCCUACUGGACCUGAGUCCGCCUCCCGGGGGUGGAGCUGCGCCAGGUGCGCGUCCGGGGCGUGGCGAACGUCACGGAUCGCCAGGUGCGGCUUCCGUGUCAAGAUGGCCGCCGCCUGCCUCCUUGGCGUCAGGCUCCCGCCCCGCUGCCUUCUCGCCGGAGCCCGGCUGCUGCGCAUCGUCCUCUGCUUACUGUGCUGGGCCCCGGAGGCUGUGCGCGCCGUCCCCGAGCUCGGGCUCUGGGCAGCGACUGUGAACGACAGAUCAGGACCUUUGAUAUUUAGGAAAACUAUGUUUAAUUCUACUGAGAUCAAGUUUUCUGUUAAGUCAUUCAGUUGUUCUGGGCCUGUGAAGUUUACCAUAGAGUGGUAUUUAAAACAUCAUACCUGUCAAAAUGAAUACUCUAGGCUGGAAGAGGAGCUGUCACAAAACCGUGAACUUAGUGUUGCUGAAGACCUUUGUGACCAUUAUUUCAAGAACACUGAGUGUUGGACAACAAAAAACGAAAACUUAGAUUGCAGCACCGGUUUACAGCUGUUUCCUCCGCUGAAUAGUAAGGAACUAAUUACAGAUACCAGAAAUGUUUCAAACCAGGAAGGAUCAAUGGAUGUUGUAGCCAGAACACAGAGAGAUGGGUUCCAUAUCUUUAUUGUUUCUAUUAAAACAGAAAAAACAGAUGCAAGGUGGAAUUUGAAUGUUUCUCUUUCUAUGGUGGGGCCUCAUGGAUAUAUUUCUGCAUCAGAUUGGCCUCUAAUGAUUUUUUACAUGGUGAUGUGUAUCGUCUAUAUCUUAUAUGCCAUACUGUGGCUGAUGUGGUCUGCCUGUUACUGGAAAGAUAUAUUAAGAAUCCAGUUCUGGAUUGCAGCUGUUAUUUUCCUGGGAAUGCUUGAAAAAGCAGUUUUCUAUAGUGAAUAUCAAAACAUCAAUAAUACUGGGCUAUCAACCCGAGGUUUAUUGAUAUUCGCGGAGCUGAUAUCUGCAAUUAAGAGAACCUUGGCCCGCCUGCUUGUGAUCAUCGUGAGCUUGGGUUAUGGCAUCGUGAAGCCUCGUUUAGGAACAGUCAUGCACCGGGUGAUUGGACUGGGGGUGCUUUACUUCCUCUUUGCAGCUGUUGAAGGCGUGAUGAGAGUCAUUGGGGGUUCUAACCACUUAGCUGUUCUUUUUGGUGACAUUAUUUUAGCUGUCAUUGACUCCAUUUUUGUGUGGUUCAUUUUUAUAAGUUUGGCACAAACUAUGAAGACUCUAAGGCUAAGAAAGAACACAGUGAAAUUUUCGUUAUACAGGCACUUUACAAAUACUCUGAUCUUUGCUGUAGUGGCUUCUGUAGUGUUUAUGGUAUGGACAACUAAGACAUUUAGGAUUGCAAAAUGUCAAUCAGAUUGGAUGGAACGCUGGGUUGAUGAUGCAUUUUGGAGCUUCCUUUUUUCGCUUAUUCUUAUUGUGAUCAUGUUUUUAUGGAGACCAUCAGCAAAUAAUCAGAGGUAUGCCUUCAUGCCCUUAAUAGAUGAUUCUGAUGAUGAAAUUGAAGAAUUCAUGGUAACGUCUGAAAAUUUAACUGAAGGUAUAAAAUUAAGAGCUUCAAAAACAGUUUCCAAUGGAACAGCUAAACCUGGUACUUCUGAUAAUUUUGAUGAAGAUUUGAAGUGGGUAGAAGAGAAUAUCCCCUCUUCAUUCACAGAUGUUGUUAUUCCAAAAAUCUACCUUGGCUUCUUUCUCACAUCUAGUUAGUCUCCCAGGUCUCUUUCUUCUGCCUUCGCCAUGGACUGCGCUAGCUCUUCCAGUAUUAGUGGAUUCAGAUGAGGAAAUCAUGACCAGAUCUGAAAUGGCAGAAAAAAUGUUCUCUUCAGAGAAGAUAAUGUGAUUUGAACCCAUAUAAAUGAGACCUAGUUCAUGGUAAAGGGCCUCCUCAAGACUAAGACUAAGAGAGCUUUGUUCUGAUAGAGUGCCACAAGUUUUUAUUGCAUUAUCUUGGAAACCUAUGCAUGAAAAUUAAGAAUUCAGGUGGUGGGAAGGUUCUGCAUCCCUUUUUAAACUGCUCUUGAGUGUCAGUUUAAUGUUCAUUAUGUUGCCUGGACAUGGAAAUAACCUAAGAAAAGUAGUAAGGUAAACAUGUAUGUCCAAAUGUCCUUAGCAUACAGGUGGCAGGCAUGUGGAUUUGGAAUGUGGCAUGUGGAUUUCUUUUCUCUGGGAAAUAUAACAGUUUCAGAUUGAAAAAUAGUUUUUACAUCAGCACUCCUACUGUUCUCCCACUGACCUUUGAGAGAUGAUAGGAUUUUCUAACGUGUGGUAAAGCAGCCUCACCCCUCCUGUUUAUAGCUCUAGAUGCAAUAAUUUUCUUUGACUUUUAAACUGAAGUGAUAAGGUAUUAAGUAAAACUCAGUUAACCUUUGAACGUAAGCAUGUUUAUAUGAUUGGUUUUGGUGUGUGUAUAUGUAUGUGUAUGUUUACUUGUCUGCACAAAGUCCUUGUUUGUAAAUAUGACCAUGCGUAUCAAAUCACAGGGUUGGGUUUUCUGGUCUGAACUCAGGGGAACACAAGUACACGGAGGGAGAAGUCUUAAGCGUCACUUCCAAAGACUUGCUCUGCUGUGACCCUCUCACUCGGGUGGUGUCUGGGUCUGUGUGGGCAAGUGGUGGGCGCCUGGCCACAUGGCACCCAGGGUGCUUCCUCCCCUGCGGGCUGGGCAGUUCAUUGCCAGUGAGCCUUACAGAAACUACAUUACCUUUUAUGUGGUCUUGGCAUAUCUGGUUUCAUAAUAAAACAUUCUUAAUUGCACAAUACAUCACUAUUAAUUUUGUAAUUAUUUAACCUUCAUAUUUUAUACAUUAUUUUGUUACAUUAUAUGGUAAUGUGCCAUUUGAAAUGUUUGUUUUAAUUUCUUUUCUAAAAAUGCAGAAUUUCCUAAACUUGAAAGGCAAUUGAAUGUACUAUGAUGGAAAUGUGAACAUUUUGCUGCUUUUGUGACCAGAGAAACAGGCUAGUGGACAUUUAGAGUAAGAGUUAGAGUCUUGUAUCUUGUAUGCCAUUCUUUGAAGGAGUUCUAGCCUUGUAAAUUGAGAAUGACUUAAGAGAAUUUUGACUGAAUUAAAUUCUUAACCAGUACCAACACUUAAAUAUAACCUUUAAUAUUUUUCAUUAUGAGUUCACAAAACAACAUUUUUCUUUUGAAUUUAUUUCUCAUUUACUCAUUUCAUAGGAGUAAGUAAAAAAGAUUUAUUUCUAGUAGUAAUAUCUCUUGAAAGAUAGUUUCAAAUUUAUUUUCCUCAGUGAACAUUUACAGUGUUGUAUAGAAAAUGGCAUGGUUUUCAAGAUGCCAUUGCAUUUAGGGCAUCCUUUUUGGGAAAAGAGUGUCUCCUUUAACAGUGUGGGUUCUGUUCCCUAUUUCACUUUCUGCCACAGCAGUGGCCCCCAGCUGCUGCACUGCCCAGCACCUCUGUCCGCUCUUGUUUUGGUGUAUGGUACCCUCAGCCCAGCUGUUCCAGAGUUGGAGGUGGCCACUGCCUUCCUGUUCCUAACAUUUUCAGCAGGUACCUCUCCCCUGAUUCUGAAGCAGAUUGACCCCCAAUUCAUCAUAUUCUAGUUGAAUUUUGAAAUGUGGAAUCUUGGGCUUCCAGCUGGUAGGAGCUGCAAACUUAGUGGAGUGAGGGGGGGAGUGGAUGGUAAGUGUGAUAACAGAGGAACUGCCUCUGCCAUAUUAGUCAUGUUUGUAAAGACGCUUCUUUCUGCAGCUGGAGAGGUAAAUGCCUCCUAUAUCGCUCAACUGUAGGCUGAGAUGCAUACUUCUCUUAUCUUCCAGGAAAGCAGGAUUCCCUCCUGAGAGCCUUGUCAGAAACGGUUUUCAAAGCGCAUAUAUUGUGUCACUUGCAGUGACAGUGGCACUGUCUCUUGAUGUCUCAUGACCUGAGUUGAGUAUUCCUGUGGAGGGGCGCCUAGCUCCUUCAUCUGAACGGAAGAGGGUACCUGGGAGCGGGAGCGGGAGCUCAUACGAAGGGUGGGGGAAAGUUAAUCCCGGGCCACUGUGCAGUUUCGCCGUGCUUCCGCACAGAGUCCCGGAAACGGUACAUCAGAGCUUCUGAGGCUGUCAGGUCAUUGAUGCUUAGGAUACCAUGAUGAUGGGUCUCCGUAUGAAUGAAGAAAUCUGAGGAUAGGAGUCCAGUUUUGUGUGUUUCUAGGCAAAGUGCUUAAGUGUUCUUAUUUAUGCAGUUCAUGAUUUAUAUGAUGUGUGAAGCUUGCUUAAUGGAAUUUUUACAAGUUGGGUUAGAUUAGUAUUUAAAUACCUCGUUUAAAGGAUAGUUUAUUUCAUAAAUAGGGGAAAUAGAUAAAUAUGUGAAUCUUUUUAAGCCGUAGAGAUGAUGUUCCCAUACUUUCCCUGGAAAGAAAAUAAUAUUUAAUAUCUUACAUAUCCUGUAGAGAAUACCAACUAUUCCUCUGUAAUACAGUACAUUGUUUGCACUACUAUAAUGUCAAGACUGAAAGUAUAAAACUGUACAUAAAUGUACAUACAUGGUGGAAUUUUAUAUCCUUUUUAAAAAGGUUUGAGUCUGUUGCCUUAGGCUAUCCUGACUAGUUUAAAAUUGAGAGAUGUUACGCUAGAUUUAUAAAUCACUAGUUUUGGUACUUGUGUCUUUGUAUGAUCAACAGCAUGCAUUAAGCAAUACAAGCACUGACCACCAAGCCUUAUGCUUACAAGGGAAGUUUAACAUUGGUUAAAGUUCUAAACAUAAUAAAUGUGUGUAAGUGACAAAACUAGAUUUUUAAGGAAAUGUACAUUAUAAUAUAGGAGUUCAGUACUACUUUGAGAAGCCUCUUUAGAACCAGGAAAACCUUCAUUUGUUCAGGGAGAGAGUUUAGAGGCUUAAGAAGUUUUAUUUUUAUAUUGGAAGAAGUUAAAUUAUUGUGUAAUUUGGAAGAAGUUGCUUUACACAUAGAACAAAACUGUCAAAAGAUUUUUGUUUGAAAAAAAAUUGAUGUAUUUUUGUGCCUUAAUAUUUGUUCUGACUUUAAAUAAAAUGCUUUCUGAAAUUUG